UUAGUCAAGUAUAUAUAGAAAUCCCAUCGUAAGAGGAAGUCGAGUACUUACGUAUACACCUAAAAGCCAACACCUACUAGUAGCUUACUUUACCAGCCAGCAGUGUUUUAGCCAUCCAUCCAUCCAAUGCCAAUCACAUCACAUCAUCUCUGUUUCAAUGUACAUGACAUUAGCUGCUUUUGCUGCCUCUGAAUAGAAGAACGACGUCUUUUUCCUCCUCCUUACGCCGGAAUAUCUGAGUGAUUUAUAGACUCAGACUCUCUCACACCUUUCUUCUCUAGAAAUCGUCUUCAACCCAUUUCGGGUUGCUAAAUUCGGAAAACUGGAAGCCAUGUCGACUCUCCAACAACAGCGGCUCAUCGUUGAGCAGCUAAGACGUGAAGCGGCCAUCCGCCGCAUCAACGUCUCGCAAGCUGUUGAAGACAUCAAAAACUUUGUGUUGGAACAUCAACGAGAUGAUUGUCUAGUUUCCGGUUUUUCCCAUUCACCACCAAACAGUAAUCCGUACAGUCCGACGGACUGCAUCGGCUGUAAUAUUGCGUAACCAACGGCACGCCACGCGAAACGCCAAGCCACGCCACACUCAAAAUUCACUCAUUUCCGUCCUACUUUGCAAUUUUACAUGUAUCGAAAAUUAAUAAAAACUUGAAACCAUUCUAAUUUU